GUUGAUGUAGUUUAACAAAAACACUAGAUUGUGAAUCUAGAAAUAGUAAUUAACCCUUCUCGUCAACC
rnacentral:tRNA from 1 species